rnacentral:rRNA from 1 species
GACGAACGCUGGCGGCGUGCUUAACACAUGCAAGUCGAACGGAAAGGCCCUGCUUGCAGGGUACUCGAGUGGCGAACGGGUGAGUAACACGUGGGUGAUCUGCCCUGCACUUCGGGAUAAGCCUGGGAAACUGGGUCUAAUACCGGAUAGGAGCAAUUUUUAGUGUGAUGGUUGGAAAGUUUUUUCGGUGUAGGAUGAGCUCGCGGCCUAUCAGCUUGUUGGUGGGGUAAUGGCCUACCAAGGCGGCGACGGGUAGCCGGCCUGAGAGGGUGGACGGCCACAUUGGGACUGAGAGACGGCCCAGACUCCUACGGGAGGCAUCAGUGGGGAAUAUUGCACAAUGGGCGCAAGCCUGAUGCAGCGACGCCGCGUGGGGGAUGACGGCCUUCGGGUUGUAAACGCCUUUCGCUAGGGACGAAGCUUUUUGUGACGGUACCUAGAUAAGAAGCACCGGCUAACUACGUG